rnacentral:rRNA from 1 species
GACGAACGCUGGCGGCGUGCUUAACACAUGCAAGUCGAACGAUGAAGCCCAGCUUGCUGGGUGGAUUAGUGGCGAACGGGUGAGUAACACGUGGGUGAUCUGCCCUGCACUCUGGGAUAAGCCUGGGAAACUGGGUCUAAUACCGGAUAUGACUCCUUGCUGCAUGGCGAGGGGUGGAAAGUUUUUCGGUGCAGGAUGAGCCCGCGGCCUAUCAGCUUGUUGGUGGGGUAACGGCCCACCAAGCCUGCGAUCAGUAACUGGUGUGAGAGCACGACCAGUCACACGGGCACUGAGACACGGGCCCGACUCCUACGGGAGGCAGCAGUAAGGAAUAUUGGUCAAUGGACGCAAGUCUGAACCAGCCAUGCCGCGUGAAGGAUGAAGGUCCUCUGGAUUGUAAACUUCUUUUAUAUGGGAAGAAAUUAUUGGAUUCCUCCGAUAUUGACGGUACCAUAGGAAUAAGCACCGGCUAACUCCGUGCCAGCAGCCGCGGUAAUACGGAGGGUGCAAGCGUUAUCCGGAUUCACUGGGUUUAAAGGGUGCGUAGGAGGGCAGGUAAGUCAGUGGUGAAAUCCUCAAGCUUAACUUGAGAACUGCCGUUGAUACUAUCUGUCUUGAAUACCGUGGAGAUGAGCGGAAUAUGUCAUGUAGCGGUGAAAUGCUUAGAUAUGACAUAGAACACCAAUUGCGAAGGCAGCUCGUUACACGAAUAUUGACUCUGAGGCACGAAAGCGUGGGGAUCAAACAGGAUUAGAUACCCUGGUAGUCCACGCCCUAAACGAUGGAUACUCGACAUACGCGAUACACAGUGUGUGUCUGAGCGAAAGCAUUAAGUAUCCCACCUGGGAAGUACGACCGCAA